GGUUCAUUGCUGGGACAUGCAUCAUCAAGCUCUUAUGCCUUUAGUUACCCAAGUACACUGACUCAAACUUUUUCUACAAUUCAAGGUAAUCUAGAAAGCAUACCUGAAGGAAUGGAAGAUGAUCACAUAGUUUUCACUAGCAAAGGUGACGCUAAUACUGUCCAGUGCAAGGAACUCACAUCGGUGCAAUGUCCAACAUCUACAUCAGUGGACAGUUCAUCAUUGGCCCCUGAUGACUCCAUAUGCCCAGGUUCCCCAACGGAAAGCUUUAAUGUGGAUGAUGAUUUUUCUCAUAUGACCGAAGAAGAAGAUGAUGAGUACUUCGCAUUUGCUGGGAGAGGUAUUAAAAAUUCCAUGGAUGUCUUAUUUCCCUACAUAUGUAUAGCACAGAAAAUGCAAUACCUAUAUAUAACACAAUUCAUCUCAUGUGUGUACAGGGAACACUGAAGAUUGCGAUGACAUGGUAGAUGCUUUUACAACAGACAACAUUGUUCCUGACCCAUAUGACUGUGUUUACCAGAAUAUACCAAAAAGUACUCACACGCUGGUGCCAAAGCCUGAUUGCAAGCAUUGCGGCGCAAAGAGGUUCCAGUAUGAGACAAAUGGAUUUUGUUGCCAGUCUGGAAAAAUUAAGUUAGCACAGUCAGAACCACCCUUGGAACUUCAGAUGUUGUACACAAGUUCAGAUAGUGAUGCUGUACAUUUUAGGGAUAACAUUCGCUACUUCAAUGGCCACUUUUCAUUCACCACUCUUGGAGUCAGUCUUGACAAUAGAUACACAAACAUGAGGUCAGGAGUCUAUACAUUCCGAGCCCAUGGUCAGAUUUACCACAACAUCUUCUCAUUUGGUCCAACACAAGAUGGACCUAAGCAUCUAGAGUUAUACUUCUACGAUGAUGACCCGAGUCUACAACAUAGGUUUCGGCGCUCCCCGAACCUAGACCGAGAUGUCAUUCGAAGGCUUGUCAACAUCCUUAAGGAUAAUCCUUAUUCUGAAACAUUCAGGAAUCUAGGUGGAGUCGAUGACCUUGAGGAUUAUCGUAUUGAACUGAACACCGACAUGAGGUU